CGUGGCAGCAGCACAGCUUCCAUGGAGUGAAAAGGUUAACAACAGCCUCUGCUUCCUGCAAUAGUGCCACUGCAGCCAGGAGGAAGCCUUUGCACUGGGGGUCCUGGUGGACAACAAGCGGUCUGUGAGCCAGGAGUGCCCUUGAGGCCAAGAAGACCAAACUUACCCUGGAGUGCAUUGGGAUAGGGUGCCAGGAAGUCGAGGGAGGUGAUCCUGUCCAUCUGCUCAGCCCUGGCUGAAUUCAAGCUGAUGGUUACAAGUCUGUAUCCUGAGAGGACCUUUCUCCCAGCAGUGGCAGAAUUCUCCCUGAAGACCUGGGCAGCUUGUCACCCCAGAACAACAUGGGUGGAAAGCCACAUUUAGGGUGUGUAACAAAAAAGGGAAUUUAAGAAAGCUGUCACUCCUAA